AAUCAACGCUGGCGGCGUGCCUAAUACAUGCAAGUUGAGCGCUGAAGGUUGGUACUUGUACCAACUGGAUGAGCAGCGAACGGGUGAGUAACGCGUGGGGAACCUGCCUUUGAGCGGGGGACAACAUUUGGAAACGAAUGCUAAUACCGCAUAAAAACUUUAAACACAAGUUUUAAGUUUGAAAGAUGCAAUUGCAUCACUCAAAGAUGAUCCCGCGUUGUAUUAGCUAGUUGGUGAGGUAAAGGCUCACCAAGGCGAUGAUACAUAGCCGACCGGAGAGGGUGAACGGCCACAUUGGGACUGAGACACGGCCCAAACUCCUACGGGAGGCAGCAGUAGGGAAUCUUCGGAAAUGGACGAAAGUCUGACCGAGCAACGCCGCGUGAGUGAAGAAGGUUUUCGGAUCGUAAAACUCUGUUGGUAGAGAAGAACGUUGGUGAGAGUGGAAAGCUCAUCAAGUGACGGUAACUACCCAGAAAGGGACGGCUAACUACGUGCCAGCAGCCGCGGUAACAC
rnacentral:rRNA from 1 species